UACGUAGGGGGCAAGCGUUGUCCGGAAUCAUUGGGCGUAAAGAGCGUGUAGGCGGCUCGAUAAGUCCGCUGUGAAAGUCCAGGGCUCAACCCUGGAAUGCCGGUGGAUACUGUCGAGCUCGAGUCCGGAAGAGGCGAGUGGAAUUCCUGGUGUAGCGGUGAAAUGCGUAGAUACCAGGAGGAACACCGGUGGCGAAGGCGGUUUCCUGGCCGAGUACUGACGCUGAGGCACGAAAGCGUGGGGAGCGAACGGG
rnacentral:rRNA from 1 species